GCGGGAGUAGCUCAGUGGCGGAGCGCCUCUUUUCCAAUGAGGAGGUCACAGGUUCAAAUCCUGUCUCCCGCU
rnacentral:tRNA from 1 species